rnacentral:tRNA from 1 species
GUGGCCAUGGUGAAGCGGUUAACACUUACGACUGUGACUCGUACAUUCGAGGGUUCAAUCCCCUCUGGCCACCCCA